CCUACGGGAGGCAGCAGUGAGGAAUAUUGGUCAAUGGACGAGAGUCUGAACCAGCCAAGUAGCGUGAAGGAUGACUGCCCUAUGGGUUGUAAACUUCUUUUAUAUGGGAAUAAAAUGUUCCACGUGUGGGAUUUUGUAUGUACCAUAUGAAUAAGGAUCGGCUAACUCCGUGCCAGCAGCCGCGGUAAUACGGAGGAUCCGAGCGUUAUCCGGAUUUAUUGGGUUUAAAGGGAGCGUAGGUGGAUUGUUAAGUCAGUUGUGAAAGUUUGUGGCCCAACCGUAAAAUUGCAGUUGAAACUGGCAGUCGUGAGUACAGUAGAGGUAGGCGGAAUUCGUGGUGUAGCGGUGAAAUGCUUAGAUAGCACGAAGAACUCCGAUUGCGAAGGCAGCUCACUGGACUGCAACUGACACUGAGGCUCGAAAGUGUGGGUAUCAAACAGGAUUAGAUACCCGUGUAGUC
rnacentral:rRNA from 1 species